GUAGUGUAAUGUAUAGCGCGUUGGAUUUCUAAUCCAAAGACCAUGGUUUCGAAUCCCACAUCCG